CAUCCCUAAAAGCAUACACCUAAAUGUAUUUGAUUAUCAUCAUUUUUAUUAUUUAUAUAUGUUAAGCCUAAUUGUUAUCCACUCAAAUGGUGGUCAGUACAAAUAACAUUCAUCCUUGCUGGAAAUGUGAACCUGAAUCUAAACGUUGAAUUUUAUCCCCUUUAUCUUUCACAAGUGUAAAAGAUGCACACUCACACAGUAGAGUAUCUUUUCAAGAACGAGUGCAUGUCACACAACCUGUUCAUGUUACAUCUGCCACCAAGCGACUGAUGAAUUUGAAGAAAAUGACACUCACUUGCACUCACAUAACAACGUGACUCAUUGCCUUCAUUGUCAACAACAACAUCAUGGCAAGGGUUUUCCCACGUGCUAAAAAAAGAUACGCCUGUUUAUUUUUUCAAUACUGUAGAAUUGUACUAUUUGCAUAUACUGGAUCUCAUAUCCCAGUGGGGCUGCACACCUGAAAUACAGAGGAUUUGUAUAAGUAGCGGUUUCAAUCAGCACUUUCAAUCCUGGGUUUCAUAUGGAGGGUCAGGAAAUGGGCCAAGCAGCAUCAAGCUUUCGAGUCACCUGAAAUAGCUUCUUAUUGGCUUCCCUGUGGUCUCUUCAACGGGAUUCUGUCUCGAUCUUUUGCUGCCAAAGUGCUCUCUGGAAAGAUCCAUGCUGUGCAUCUGAUGGGUAUUCAGCCGAAAGAAUUGGACAGGUUGACUCGAGCAGUGAUGUUGUUAUCUAGCGCCUGCACAUGUCUCUAUGUGGACAAAACCCAUCAGUGUAACCACUGGAGCGCCAGUCAUUUUUAUCAUGAACCGAACCAGUGCUGCUAGAGCUCGUUUUGCACUGGACCCCAGCAGACAUGUCAAACGGAUAUGACUGAAGCAUCUCGGCUCUUGACACCUCUCUUAAGGUCUGAGAUUACAGGACUGGGAAUUAGACAUCAUCCUUCGGAAGAGACUAUCAGCCCCUGACACACUGUACAUGUUCAGCAUGGCAUGAUAAUCUCUCUGCGUGUGCUAACAUGACAUUAAAGCAACUCUUCUUUAUUAAUCCCUGAUAAACCCAUAUUAAUCGUAAUCGAAGUUAAAAUCCCAAAAUUCCCAGUGCUCCAUUUUCUGUCAGUGCUGCUGACACAAGAGAAUUACUUUUUUUUUUUUAAUAGGUUAUAGGCCCACACCUGGCUGGAUUUAAAUGUGAAUUGUAAAUCUGAACAUUUUAAAAGCAAAAUGUAUUAUACCUUUCUGAUGGUAAUACAGUUUAGCUAAAAUAUGUAUUCAUUAACAAAAGGCAAAGA
rnacentral:lncRNA from 1 species